CGAGUCUUAACUGGGCGUUAAGUUGCAGGGUAUAGACCCGAAACCCGGUGAUCUAGCCAUGGGCAGGUUGAAGGUUGGGUAACACUAACUGGAGGACCGAACCGACUAAUGUAAGAAUUCGG
rnacentral:rRNA from 1 species